AUUGAACGCUGGCGGCAGGCUUAACACAUGCAAGUCGAGCGGGGGAAGGUAGCUUGCUACUGGACCUAGCGGCGGACGGGUGAGUAAUGCUUAGGAAUCUGCCUAUUAGUGGGGGACAACAUCUCGAAAGGGAUGCUAAUACCGCAUACGUCCUACGGGAGAAAGCAGGGGAUCUUCGGACCUUGCGCUAAUAGAUGAGCCUAAGUCGGAUUAGCUAGUUGGUGGGGUAAAGGCCUACCAAGGCGACGAUCUGUAGCGGGUCUGAGAGGAUGAUCCGCCACACUGGGACUGAGACACGGCCCAGACUCCUACGGGAGGCAGCAGUGGGGAAUAUUGGACAAUGGGGGGAACCCUGAUCCAGCCAUGCCGCGUGUGUGAAGAAGGCCUUAUGGUUGUAAAGCACUUUAAGCGU
rnacentral:rRNA from 1 species